ensembl:miRNA
GCCACUGCCGGGGCUUACAUCGCCUCCCAGACGGUGAAGAAAGUGAUAGAGAUCAACCCGUACCUUCUGGGCACCAUGGCCGGGGGUGCAGCAGAUUGCAGCUUCUGGG